GAUGAACGCUGGCGGCGUGCCUAAUACAUGCAAGUCGAGCGAACGGACGAGAAGCUUGCUUCUCUGCUGUUAGCGGCGGACGGGUGAGUAACACGUGGAUAACCUACCUAUAAGACUGGGAUAACUUCGGGAAACCGGAGCUAAUACCGGAUCAUAUUUUGAACCGCAUGGUUCAAAAGUGAAAGACGGUCUUGCUGUCACUUAUAGAUGGAUCCGCGCUGCAUUAGCUAGUUGGUAAGGUAACGGCUUACCAAGGCAACGAUGCAUAGCCGACCUGAGAGGGUGAUCGGCCACACUGGAACUGAGACACGGUCCAGACUCCUACGGGAGGCAGCAGUAGGGAAUCUUCCGCAAUGGGCGAAAGCCUGACGGAGCAACGCCGCGUGAGUGAUGAAGGCCUUCGGAUCGUAAAACUCUGUUAUUAGGGAAGAACAUAUGUGUAAGUAACUGUGCACAUCUUGACGGUACCUAAUCAGAAAGCCACGGCUAACUACGUG
rnacentral:rRNA from 1 species